rnacentral:tRNA from 1 species
AAGGAAGUGUAUUAACAAGUAAGCACUGCUAAUUCUUACACUCCAGAGUUAAAAUCCCUGGCUUCCUUG